rfam:Zea mays cultivar B73 chromosome 2, whole genome shotgun sequence.
GGCCGGUGAUGUGAUCAAAAUAUUUGCUACUCUUGAUGGAGCAAAGGCUCCGCCUGACGACCAAGAACCACCAAGAUCUCUGAGGCC